AAAAACAUUUGUCUAAUAAAUAAAUCUUGAGACGUUUUUUUAAACUUGUUAAGACAUUAUGAGCGAGAGUGAGAUAUUGUCGGAAGAUUGUUUUUAUGAAAGUGAACAG